UACAGAGGUCCCAAGCGUUGUUCGGAUUCACUGGGCGUAAAGGGUGCGUAGGUGGCAUGGUAAGUUUGAUGUGAAAUCUCCGGGCUUAACCCGGAAAUGGCAUUGAAUACUACUGUGCUGGAGGUUUGGAGGGGGGACUGGAAUUCUCGGUGUAGCAGUGAAAUGCGUAGAUAUCGAGAGGAACACCAGUGGCGAAGGCGAGUCCCUGGACACACCUGACACUCGAGGCACGAAAGCUAGGGGAGCAAACAGG
rnacentral:rRNA from 1 species